rnacentral:rRNA from 1 species
UAAGGAAUAUUGGUCAAUGGACGCAAGUCUGAACCAGCCAUGCCGCGUGGAGGAUGAAGGUCCUCUGGAUUGUAAACUUCUUUUAUCUGGGACGAAACACUUCUUUUCUAAGAGGCCUGACGGUACCAGAUGAAUAAGCACCGGCUAACUCCGUGCCAGUAGCCGCGGUAAUACGGAGGGUGCAAGCGUUAUCCGGAUUCACUGGGUUUAAAGGGUGCGUAGGUGGGUAUGUAAGUCAGUGGUGAAAUCCCCGAGCUUAACUUGGGAACUGCCAUUGAUACUAUAUAUCUUGAAUACCGUAGAGGUAAGCGGAAUAUGUCAUGUAGCGGUGAAAUGCUUAGAUAUGACAUGGAACACCAAUUGCGAAGGCAGCUUACUAUGCGGUGAUUGACACUGAGGCACGAAAGCGUGGGUAGCAAACA